rnacentral:rRNA from 1 species
AACGAACGCUGGCGGCAUGCCUAACACAUGCAAGUCGAACGAGACCUUCGGGUCUAGUGGCGCACGGGUGCGUAACGCGUGGGAACCUGCCCUUAGGUUCGGAAUAACUCCCCGAAAGGGGUGCUAAUACCGGAUAAUGUCUUCGGACCAAAGAUUUAUCGCCUUUGGAUGGGCCCGCGUUGGAUUAGCUAGUUGGUAGGGUAAAAGCCUACCAAGGCGACGAUCCAUAGCUGGUCUGAGAGGAUGAUCAGCCACACUGGGACUGAGACACGGCCCAGACUCUUACGGGAGGCAGCAGUGGGGAAUAUUGGACAAUGGGCGAAAGCCUGAUCCAGCAAUGCCGCGUGAGUGAUGAAGGCCUUAGGGUUGUAAAGCUCUUUUACCCGGGAUGAUAAUGACAGUACCGGGAGAAUAAGCGCCGGCUAACUCCGUG